rnacentral:rRNA from 1 species
UACGUAGGGGGCGAGCGUUGUCCGGAUUUAUUGGGCGUAAAGAGCUCGUAGGCGGUUCGAUAAGUCGGACGUGAAAUCUCCACGCUCAACGUGGAGGGGCCGUUCGAUACUGUCGUGACUCGAGUCCGGUAGGGGAGUGUGGAAUUCCCGGUGUAGUGGUGAAAUGCGUAGAGAUCGGGAGGAACACCAGUGGCGAAGGCGGCUUGCUGGGCCGGACCUGACGCUGAGGCGCGAAGGCGUGGGGAGCGAACGGG